UAUUGGACCGUACCGUAAACCGACACUGGUGGGUGAGCAGAUAAUCUGCCAAGGCGCUUGAGAGAACUCGGGUUAAGGAACUCUGCAAAUUGAUACCGUAACUUCGGAAGAAGGUAUGCCUUCGACGGUGUAGGGAUUUACUCCCGAAGCUGUUGAAGGUCGCAGGUAAUCGGUGGCUGCGACUGUUUAUCAAAAACACAGGACUCUGCGAACACGCAAGUGGAAGUAUAGGGUCUGACGCCUGCCCGGUGCCGGAAGGUUAAUUGAUGGGGUUAGCCGCAAGGCGAAGCUCUUGAUCGAAGCCCCGGUAAACGGCGGCCGUAACGAUAACGGUCCUAAGGUAGCGAAAUUCCUUGUCGGGUAAGUUCCGACCUGCACGAAUGGCGUAACGCUGGCCACACUGUCUCGACCCGAGACUCAGUGAAGUUGAAAUCGCUGUGAAGAUGCGGCGUUCCCGCGGCAAGACGGAAAGACCCCGUGAACCUUCACUACAGCUUUACACUGAACUUUGAACCUUUCUGUGUAGGAUAGGUGGGUGGCUAUGAAACUUGGGCGCUAGCUCGAGUGGAGCCAACCUUGAAAUACCACCCUGGGAUGUUUGAAGUUCUAACCUUGGUCCGUAAUCCGGAUUGGGGACAGUGUAUGGUGGGUAGUUUGACUGGGGCGGUCUCCUCCCAAAGAGUAACGGAGGAGUGCAAUGGUACGCUCAGCGCGGUCGGUCAUCGCGCUCUAGAGUGCAAAGGCAUAAGCGUGCUUAACUGUGAGACAGACACGUCGAACAGGUACGAAAGUAGGUCUUAGUGAUCCGGUGGUUCUGUAUGGAAGGGCCAUCGCUCAACGGAUAAAAGGUACUCCGGGGAUAACAGGCUUAUUCCUCCCAAGAGUCCACAUCGACGGAGGAGUUUGGCACCUCGAUGUCGGCUCAUCACAUCCUGGGGCUGUAGCAGGUCCCAAGGGUAUGGCUGUUCGCCAUUUAAAGUGGUACGCGAGCUGGGUUCAGAACGUCGUGAGACAGUUCGGUCCCUAUCUGCCGUGGGCGUUGGAAACUUGAGGGUGAGCUGUCCUUAGUACGAGAGGACCGGGAUGGACGUAUCUCUGGUGUUCCGGUUGUCACGCCAGUGGCACUGCCGGGUAGCUAUAUACGGACGGGAUAAGCGCUGAAAGCAUCUAAGCGCGAAGCCCCCCCCAAGAUUAGGUUUCCCUGGGAACUCGAUUCCCCUAAAGGGCCGUCGGAGACUACGACGUUGAUAGGCUGGGUGUGUAAGUGCAGCAAUGCAUUGAGCUAACCAGUACUAAUUGCCCGUGAGGCUUGACCUC
rnacentral:rRNA from 1 species